CCUACGUGAGGCAGCAGUGAGGAAUAUUGGUCAAUGGACGAGAGUCUGAACCAGCCAAGUAGCGUGAAGGAUGACUGCCCUAUGGGUUGUAAACUUCUUUUAUAUGGGAAUAAAAUGUUCCACGUGUGGGAUUUUGUAUGUACCAUAUGAAUAAGGAUCGGCUAACUCCGUGCCAGCAGCCGCGGUAAUACGGCGGAUCCGAGCGUUAUCCGGAUUUAUUGGGUUUAAAGGGAGCGUAGGUGGAUUGUUAAGUCAGUUGUGAAAGUUUGCGGCUCAACCGUACAAUUGCAGUUGAAACUGGCAGUCGGGAGUACAGUAGAGGGGGGCGGGAUUCGUGGGGUAGCGGGGAAAGGCGUAGAUAUCACGAAGAA
rnacentral:rRNA from 1 species